AUUGAACGCUGGCGGCAGGCUUAACACAUGCAAGUCGAGCGGAAACGAUGGUAGCUUGCUACCAGGCGUCGAGCGGCGGACGGGUGAGUAAUACUUAGGAAUCUACCUAGUAGUGGGGGAUAGCUCGGGGAAACUCGAAUUAAUACCGCAUACGACCUACGGGAGAAAGGGGGCAGUUUACUGCUCUCGCUAUUAGAUGAGCCUAAGUCGGAUUAGCUAGAUGGUGGGGUAAAGGCCUACCAUGGCGACGAUCUGUAGCUGGUCUGAGAGGAUGAUCAGCCACACCGGGACUGAGACACGGCCCGGACUCCUACGGGAGGCAGCAGUGGGGAAUAUUGGACAAUGGGGGAAACCCUGAUCCAGCCAUGCCGCGUGUGUGAAGAAGGCCUUUUGGUUGUAAAGCACUUUAAGCAGUGAAGAAGACUCCGUGGUUAAUACCCACGGACGAUGACAUUAGCUGCAGAAUAAGCACCGGCUAACUCUGUGCCAGCAGCCGCGGUAAUACAGAGGGUGCAAGCGUUAAUCGGAAUUACUGGGCGUAAAGGGAGCGUAGGUGGCUCGAUAAGUCAGAUGUGAAAUCCCCGGGCUCAACCUGGGAACUGCAUCUGAUACUGUUGAGCUAGAGUAUGUGAGAGGAAGGUAGGAUUCCAGGUGUAGCGGUGAAAUGCGUAGAGAUCUGGAGGAAUACCGAUGGCGAAGGCAGCCUUCUGGCAUAAUACUGACACUGAGGCUCGAAAGCGUGGGUAGCAAACAGG
rnacentral:rRNA from 1 species